UCUCUCUCUUUUUCUCUUUUCCCCCUCCGCUGGCACACUCGCUCUCCCAGCUAAGCACCCCAUCUCCCUUGCAGCCACCCUCUUGUCAUCAUGCCCCUCUCUCUUUCUCUCUCUCUGUUGUCUCCUCCCUGCCCUCCACCAAGCAAGCCUCUCGGGUAGGAGCUCCCCCAGCUUGGCACACCCUGGCAGGACUCCCGGCCUGCCGUCCCUUCUCAGCCUCGGGUGCCAGUCAAACCUCUCCAUUUUCUUUCCUCCCUCGCUGUAGCUAACCUGUCCUCUGUUGCUUUUGUCGCCCCCCAAAACCACCCAGGUCAUCUCCCGGCUCAAGCCCCCGAAGAGCGCAUCUCUGAAGAUGAACCCCGUCCCGAGCAGGGCUGAGAACCAGAAAACCCGUUAUUGUCCCAGGGGAUCAGAAAUGGGUGAAGACACCUCCAAAAGAUCCAUAGAAUUCCUGAGCACUGGAAAGUGAGAAAUAUUUCUUAGGCAAUAGAAGACCUCUCUGCGAACUCAAAAGAUAUGACUCUCUAGC